ACACGGGUAAAUCAUACAGCUGCAUUCCAUCUACAUCUAAAUCAGAAACGAUGUGUUCUUCACAUUUCUUGCUGAUAGGACUGAUCUUGAUGCCUGGUACGAGUGGCAUCGAUUCAGUCUCUCAGGAUACUUCUGAUUUAACAGCUCAGGAAGGAGAGACUAUCGCUCUGAACUGCAAUUAUUCCACGACUGAUACCUUUCCUUACCUCUUCUGGUAUAUUCAACACCCAGGGAGUUCCCUGACAUAUAUAUUGAAGAGAUACGGCAAUGAUCUGGGCGAGACUGCUGUAAAUUUCCGCAGCAGGUUCACUGCUUCCUUGGACAACGAACAAAGAAUUGUUACGUUGAGAGUCCUUGAGGUUCUUGUCUCUGACUCCGCCGUGUAUCAUUGUGCACUGCGCCCCACACUGUUAUAGGGGCACAGUCAGCAUGUACAAAAACUGGCUAAGGAUAUUCACCACAUUUCAGGCUGUGAGGUUAGGCAAAAUGGUUACUGAGAGAAAAAGAAAACAGAUAUCAGCAUGCAACGUGUGA